rnacentral:rRNA from 1 species
UACAGAGGGUGCGAGCGUUAAUCGGAAUUACUGGGCGUAAAGCGUGCGUAGACGGUUUUGUAAGUCGGAUGUGAAAAUCCCCCGGGCUCAACCUGGGAAUUGCAUUCGAGACUGCAAGGCUUGGGUGCGGAAGAGGGAAGCGGAAUUUCCGGUGUAGCGGUGAAAUGCGUAGAUAUCGGAAGGAACAUCAGUGGCGAAAGCGGCUUCCUGGUCCAGCACCGACGUUCAGGCACGAAAGCGUGGGGAGCAAACAGG